UACGUAGGGGGCAAGCGUUGUCCGGAUUUAUUGGGCGUAAAGAGCGUGUAGGCGGUCUGGUAGGUCCGUUGUGAAAACUCGAGGCUCAACCUCGAGACGCCGAUGGAAACCCUCAGACUAGAGUCCGGAAGAGGAGAGUGGAAUUCCUGGUGUAGCGGUGAAAUGCGCAGAUAUCAGGAGGAACACCAAUUGCGAAGGCAGCUCGCUGGGACGUUACUGACGCUGAGACGCGAAAGCGUGGGGAGCAAACAGG
rnacentral:rRNA from 1 species